CGCCUCUUGAAAAAUAUAAGAGGUCCAGCCUGCCCAGUGACUCUGUUCAACGGCCGCGGUAUCCUAACCGUGCGAAGGUAGCGUAAUCACUUGUUCUUUAAAUGAGGACUAGUAUGAAAGGCAUCACGAGGGUUAUACUGUCUCCUUUUUCUAAUUAGUGAAACUAAUCUCCCCGUGAAGAAGCGGGGAUUAUUUUAUAAGACGAGAAGACCCUAUGGAGCUUUAAAUUAAAUAACAAUUGCCACUUUAUUUUUAUUAACAUUACAACGUUUAGCAAUAUGAUUAUUAAUUUUUGGUUGGGGUGACCGCGGAGCAUAACAUAACCUCCACAUUGAAAGGAUUUACACCUAAGCUAAAAGCAACAACUUUAAGCAUCAAUAAAUUGACAUUAAUUGACCCAAUAUAUUUGAUCAACGAACCAAGUUACCCUAGGGAUAACAGCGCAAUCUACUUUAAGAGCCCAUAUCGACAAGUAGGUUUACGACCUCGAUGUUGGAUCAGGGUAUCCUAGUGGUGCAGCCGCUACUAAUGGUUCGUUUGUUCAACGAUUAAAACCCU
rnacentral:rRNA from 1 species